CCUUUGACGUUAGCGGCGGACGGGUGAGUAACACGUGGGUAACCUACCUAUAAGACUGGGAUAACUUCGGGAAACCGGAGCUAAUACCGGAUAAUAUUUCGAACCGCAUGGUUCGAUAGUGAAAGGUGGUUUUGCUAUCACUUAUAGAUGGACCCGCGCCGUAUUAGCUAGUUGGUAAGGUAACGGCUUACCAAGGCGACGAUACGUAGCCGACCUGAGAGGGUGAUCGGCCANACUGGAACUGAGACACGGUCCAGACUCCUACGGGAGCAGCAGCC
rnacentral:rRNA from 1 species